rnacentral:lncRNA from 1 species
GGCAGAGUGAGAUCCUAAUCCUGCAGUGAGGCUCCAGAGCCCUUAUUCCUCUGGACAGUGUCCCCCAGACGGCCAUUUGUGGUAGAAGUACGAGGAGCAGAAAUGAGGGCUUUGAGGUGAGACACCUGACUGCAACUUGCCUGCCAUGUGAUCCUGGUAUUAAGAGGACAAGUCACAUGGAUUUACAGAAACUGAUCACGGAUCGAGGGCCCUGUUCACAGCAGUAUGCUGAGGCUGGAAAGGCUUGUUUGGAGGUUCUUUCAGCUUGCAAAGAUCCAGGUGAGCAUCGAUCCUGCCAGGCUGUCUCUCCUCUCU